rnacentral:pre_miRNA from 1 species
AGUGGAAUUGCUAGGUCACAUGGUAGUUCUAUGUUUGACUUUUUGAGGAAUUGCCAAACUGUUUUCCACAGCAGCUGCACCAUUUUACAUUCCCACUAGCAAU